CAAGUGCCAGUUCCAGCUGCCAGUGUGACAAAUGAGGCACUGCUUUCAGUGGCAAACUUGUCCCAUCAUGCACCUCUUCCACCUGCAACAAUGUCCCAUCAUGCACCAAUCUCAGAUGCCAACAUAUACCAUCAUGCACCUGCUCUAAAUGCAUCUGUAUCACAUCAUGAACCCGUUAUACCACAAAGGACCUCCGAUCAUUGUCCACCAGAAAAUGACAAUGAAGACAAUGAGGAGGUCUGUGAUGCAGAGCAGGAGGUUAACGACGUGAUAAUGGACAUGUUCCAGGCUCCUACACUUUUGGAGGACCCAUUCCCCAAUGCUUCAGAGGAGAGGGACUUUGACGUAAUAUAUACCAGAAAAG
ensembl:lncRNA